rnacentral:rRNA from 1 species
GACGAACGCUGGCGGCGUGCUUAACACAUGCAAGUCGAGCGGUAAGGCCCUUCGGGGUACACGAGCGGCGAACGGGUGAGUAACACGUGGGUGACCUGCCUCUAGCUCUGGGAUAAGCCUGGGAAACUGGGUCUAAUACCGGAUAUGACUCCACGGCGCAUGUUGUGGGGUGGAAAGCCUUGUGUGGCUAGAGAUGGGCCCGCGGCCUAUCAGCUUGUUGGUGGGGUGANGGCCUACCAAGGCGACGACGGGUAGCCGGCCUGAGAGGGCGACCGGCCACACUGGGACUGAGACACGGCCCAGACUCCUACGGGGAGGCAGCAGUGGGGAAUCUUGCGCAAUGGGCGAAAGCCUGACGCAGCGACGCCGCGUGA